rnacentral:rRNA from 1 species
ACUUUCAACAACGGAUCUCUUGUUCUGGCAUCGAUGAAGAACGCAGCGAAAUGCGAUAAGUAAUGUGAAUUGCAGAAUUCAGUGAAUCAUCGAAUCUUUGAACGCACAUUGCGCCCCUUGGUAUUCCGAGGGGCAUGCCUGUUCGAGCGUCAUUUC